ACAUCAGCCACCGUUAACUGGGCCACACUUGCGUCUAGAACUGUUUUUAUUCUCCCCAAGAGAGUGCUUCCAUAUUUGAGAUCUGUGGCAAGACUUACUAGAGUUGUCAUAGCUAUGGAUAGAUAUGGAGGUCUGCUUGGAGGAUUUCUCAGGGCGGUGCCGCCUGUCCAGAAGCCACUAUCGCUCACUGAUGGGAACAAAUUUAGAGAGGGCAUUAUGUCAGAAGUUGGUAAAUAUGUAUCCACCCUAGUUGAUCCUAGAAAUAUGAUGUUGGACUCUUUUCAUCACCUAAAACACAACAAGAGCCUUCAGGGAUCAUUUUUGGUGCAUGCUGGGACUGUCAGCGAUCAGGAAGUCUGUGGUACCCCCAUGUUUUGCUAUAAGGAUGGUCUUUCUAAUCCAGAGAUUGACAGAUUAUUGACACCUAUUUCUCUUACCCGCCUGACUGUGCCCAACAAUGAAAAUUCUGAUGUUUUUAGAAUAGGCAACAUAAUCUACAGCGAGGACUCUGGGCUGUUUGACAUAAUUCCCACGCUCAGAACAAGACUGAUGGAGAGAAACCUGCAUGAGGGACUUGUUUUUGUUGGUCCUCUGAUAAAGAACAUAAACAGUUCAUUUGUCAAUAAGAUAACUACUGCCAUAAAGGGAGAUACUGUUCUGAAUGAGUCACUUUCCCACGGCCUGGUUUUGAAACUUCCUGUAGAACAGUUUAUGGACUUUGAAACUACCAACACUUUUCACUACACCGGCAGGUUGCCAAUGACUCACCGAAGCUAUAUUUAUUAUGCUCUGGGCUAUGUGAUUACCGCAGACGGGACACAGAGCCUGCUUCAAAAAUUCUUUCGGACCCCGAUAGAGGGACCUGAAUUUACUCGCUUGGUAAGAGAUUAUUUUGCAGGGGAGAUCAGGAACUUUUUCCUGGGUGACAAUGAUUUUGGGCAGGGUAAUUUUCUAAUGUUUGGAGCUGUUUGUAGAUGUGGAUAUUUUCCAGAAGAUUCAUUGCUGACCAGAACCAGAGUUUCCAUCAAGGGUGGUGGGUUGUCUUUAAUUGAAAUUCCUGACUUUACAGUGUCUAGAGGACCGUGGCAGUUUAUCUGAAAAUGGCGACCCAAACCAUGGACGUGGAGCCUGUUCAGACCGUGAACGCAAUUGAUGCCGCCAUCGCCGAGCUGAAGCUGAUGGCCGGCCACAGCCAUGAAGCUAAUGUGCUGGCUGGCAGGCUGCUUCAUUUUAAGAUGAGAGAAGUUUGUACCCAGACUGUGGCUCAGUUUCUGGAUGCCUUUUCCAGCGUGUUGGAUGAAGGGCUGUGUGCCUUUAUUGGAAACUACAGCCAGAGUUUGGAUGAGAUGGUUCAGCGGUAUGUGUCUGGGGGCUUUGCGGCUGUGAAGGAAAAUGGUUAUCUGGCAGCUGCUAGGUUUUAUGACACCUAUGUGCUUAGAAAUGAUGUCAAGUAUGAGAGUGUCCCCCACAUGUUUAUGCGCAUUUCGGCAUUUUGUGCUUAUCACUGCAUACAGAAUGAGUGUCUCUUCAAGACCUUGAAGCAUAUGGAGCUAGACAGGGGGAAUGUUGUGGAGAAUGCCAUGGAUUUGAUUACUUAUUUCUUUGAGAUGAUUGCUUCUCAGCAGGUGUGCUGUGCCACGCCCGUGAUGAGAUCCGCUGGUUUGAGGGAUGCUAAUUUAAGUAGUUGUUUCAUCUUUGCCCCCGCCCUGGACUCUGAGGAAAAAACUGUGGAUGCAGUGUUUUCUGAGUUAACAAAGCUGUUGGCGUGCCCGUCAGCGUGGCUGCCUAUAUGGAGAUUUGGCAUACCAACAUCAUGGACUUUCUGACUGCGAAGCUUCCAGAGAACCCAGAACGAUGUGGCAACUUAUUUCAAGGAGUGUGCAUACCAGAGAUUUUCUUCAGAACCUACAAAAAUGAUCCAGAGUCCAAUUGGUACCUGUUUGAUCCCAAGAAGGCCGAAGUCCUAACAAACACCUAUGGGUAUAUGUUUAGUAUAGCCUACGCAGGAUUAGUGGAGCAGGGGGCAUAUGAAGCAGUGGUUCCCAUUAAGAGCGUGAUGUUCGCUCUUGUUUCCUGCAUAAUAAAGACUGGGGGGCCUUAUAUUUUGAACAAGAAAGCUAUAAACAGACAUGACUGGCAUGAAUGGUCCACACAUCAGUAUAGGGCCAUUAAUUGUGCAAAUCUUUGUGCAGAGGUGAUACAGUAUCCAGGAGAGAACGUGUCCACCUGUAACCUGGCCAAUAUCUGUCUGCCAAAGUGUUUGGAGGAUGACAAAUUUGUCUCUGGAAAGAGUUGUCUACUCACGUACGAGCGUGAGUUUUCCAUUGAGAGGCUGGAGAGGGCCACAGAGGCUGCAGUGUUUAUCAUCAAUGCCUGCAUCCAUGGUGGCACUUUACCUACACAGAGGGCCAGGCGGGGGCAGAGUGACAGGUCUAUGGGUAUUGGAGUACAAGGAUUAGCAGAUACCUUUGCUAUGAUGGGGUUGGGAUAUUUUGAUGCAGGGAGUGAGAUACUUGAUCAGAAGAUAGCAGAGACCCUGUAUUUCAAUGCACUCAAUACCAGUAUCAACUUUGUGAAGAUAGGCAAGGGGGAACCCUAUGCUAACUAUGAGCAGAGUAAGCAUUCCAUUGGGGUGCUCCAUUGGCAUGACUGGGACAUGUGUAGCCCCAUGGUCUAUACAAGAGAUGAGUGGGAAGAUUUGGCAAGGUCCUGCGAGGUACAUGGUGUAUACAAUUCACAAUUUGUGGCCUAUAUGCCUACUGCUGGCACUGGGCAAAUCACAGGUUACUCAGACUCCUUCUAUCCAUUUUAUUCAUCCAUGUCAUCCAAGGUGUCAAAUAAAGAAGAAAUCUUGCGACCCAACAUGACCCUCAUGAGCAGAAUGUCAGAUAGUGAGGUCCAGACCCUUAGGGAGUGUAACUGGGAUAUUGCCAAACUUCCAGAGCCCCUGCUGCAGAAAUAUAGAAUUUUCCUGUCAGCCUUUGAUUAUGAACCCAGCCUGUAUGUACGCAGAGCUAUGCUUAGGGCACCAUUCAUUGAUCAGAGCCAGUCUAUGACCUUGUUUUUGAAUGAAGAUUAUGCAAGCAGUGCUUCAAAUAUAAAGAAUUUGUUGAUGUAUGGGUGGGAGUGUGGGUUGAAAACCUUGAUGUACUACUGCAGAAUACGUAAAACAGCAACCUCUAACGAAUUUGAAUGUGUCAGAAGGAAUUCACAACAGAAAUAUGUAAACUGUGCUGAUGGGGAAGGUGCUGGGGGGGAGGAGCCUUCUGAAAAUUGUAUAAAGGCUGAGGGUGCGACGUGUUCACUAUCUGUGGGUGCUUCUUGUCUGCACUGUCAAUAACUGAUUGCUCUCAAUAAAAUCAGUAAAAUUUA
rnacentral:tmRNA from 1 species